AUCGAAGUGGUCAUAACGAGGCGGUCUUGAAAACCGUUUGUCCGAAAGGGCGCGUGGGUUCGAAUCCCACC
rnacentral:tRNA from 2 species